rnacentral:misc_RNA from 1 species
AUAUGAGUGUUCUUGUUUACCUGGGUAUGAACCCAAGUUCCCAAAGGACUGGCAUCUAAGAGAUGGGUCAGGUGGGUGCAUCAGGAAGCGACUGGAAUCUUCCUCGGUUUGUGGACAUGAAGAAGGGUUUGUGAAACUGUCAAUGGUUAAGAUUCCUGUUUCUUCAGCAGCUGUCUGGGUUGAUAUGAGUAUGAGUCAGAUGGACUGCCAAAAAGAGUGCAAGAAUAAUUGUUCCUGCACUGCAUAUGCAAGUAUACCAAUUGCUGGGAAAGGAACCGGUUGCUUAUCAUGGUAUGGGGAAAUAAUGGAUACAAUAGAUCAUACAUAUUAUGGAUACGAUCUCUAUGUUCGUGUUGAUGCUGUUGAAUUAGCUAAGCAAGCAAGGAAAUCAUACCGUUCUCUUAAAAUGAAGGGGACGCUGCCCAUUCUAGUACUGUGUGUUGCCUCUGUAUGGUUUGUCGUUACCAUAUUUACCUGUUUAUGGUUGAGGAGAAAAGUAAAGAAAAGAAGGAAUAGAAGAUCAGUUGAUCAAAUCAGUGGCUACAAAGAUACUUUUACUGCAAAUGAGCUAGGGGACAGCAAUAAGCAUCCAGAUUUGGCCUUUUUAAGUCUCAACACCAUAUUAGUUGCCACUAACAAUUUAUCUUCAGCUAACAAAAUAGGGCAAGGUGGUUUUGGAUCUGUUUAUAAGGUAAAAUAUCCCUCACAAUGUUUAAACCUCAAGGAUUUCUUAGUGUGAUGCAUGUACAAUUUCCUGCCUCUCUCUGUUUUAUUGAAAAGUUAUGUGCGAUCAAACUGGCUUUAAAUUGAUUGAAAUGGUUCCAGGGUCGGCUGGCUAAUGGACAGGACAUUGCUGUAAAAAGACUAUCCAAAAAUUCAGGGCAAGGAAAAGAAGAAUUCAAAAAUGAAGUUAUGUUGAUCGCAAAACUUCAGCACAAGAAUCUGGUGAAGCUCAUAGGAUGCUGCAUUCAGGGAGAAGAAC